UUAUCAUGUGGAUCCCUCUAAUGUAAGGCAGCAAAAUGGAACUUUUGCUUUAGCCUUUGCUAAACAUGAAGAGGACUCCAGAGUUAAGAGUGAGAAGAUACAAACGUGGAAAGAUGCUUUGAAAUGCGCGAUCCAUAUUGCCGGGUUUGUUGUAGAAGAUAGCACAUCUGAAUCAACAGUUGUCCAGCAUAUCAGUGGAGACAUAAAGCGUGAAUUGUAUGCAUCAUUUGUUGGAGGGGCCUUUCUGGAAGCAAAGCUUGGAGAAGUAUUUGGGGUGUUGCAUGACACAGUUAAGAAUGUGGGAAGCAAAGUCCUCACGUUCAAAUCCUUUUUUAAAAACUUCGAAUCCAAUCUAGAUCUUUUAGCACCUG